AGACCAUGAUGUGGGCAUUUCCUUAAUAACUCUUUGAACAUUUUCCAUGUCUCAUACAAAGAUUCCCCGUCGUCGUGAGAGUAUGAAUUAAUUUCGGUCAUAAGUUU
rfam:Helianthus annuus linkage group 13, whole genome shotgun sequence.